rnacentral:rRNA from 1 species
UACGUAGGGGGCAAGCGUUGUCCGGAAUCAUUGGGCGUAAAGAGCGUGUAGGCGGCUUGGUAAGUCUGCUGUGAAAGUCCAGGGCUCAACCCUGGGAUGCCGGUGGAUACUGCUAAGCUCGAGUCCGGAAGAGGCGAGUGGAAUUCCUGGUGUAGCGGUGAAAUGCGCAGAUAUCAGGAGGAACACCUAUAGCGAAGGCAGCUCGCUGGGACGGUACUGACGCUGAGACGCGAAAGCGUGGGGAGCAAACAGG